rnacentral:lncRNA from 1 species
AGACAGUACAGUGUAGUUCCUUGAGAGAUGGCAUCAGAGUUGGAAAGAACUGGGUUCAAGACUCACUCUGGCGUGUAUCAGCAGUAUGAUUCUGGGAUCAAAAGGAGCUCUGAAUUCCAGCUGACCUUCCACAGAGAAGCGAUUUACUGCCAAGUGAUCUGCCUAAUCAUUGGCAUCUUGAGUGGUUGUGGAGAAGAAGGCCAGUUCAAGGAAGUGCUGAGUCCAGUGGCUCCAAAGAUCAGGUACCAUGAAGAGCUCGGCACUCUUUUCUAUUCUUUAGGAUAUUACCAUAUAAUUACCGAGGGGGAAGGAAGAGGGUAG